CCCUUAGAUGUUCUGGGCAGCACGCGCGCUACAAUGGUCUUCGCAAACGGAUGCAUUCUCGAAGGAGAAUGCCAAUCUUGGAAUCUAUGCCUUGGUCGGGACAGUUGCUUGCAAUUUUUCGACUCGAACCAGGAAUUCCUUGUAAUCGUGAUUCAUCACAUCACGAUGAAUACGUCCCUGCCCUUUGUACACACCGCCCGUCGCUUCUACCGAUUGAGUGAUCCGGUGAACUCUUAGGACUGCGCGCCCUCGUGGCGUCGCAGGAAUUUGCGUAAAUCAUAUCACUUAGAGGAAGAAGAAGUCGUAACA
rnacentral:rRNA from 1 species